rnacentral:rRNA from 1 species
CCUACGGGAGGCUGCAGUGAGGAAUAUUGGUCAAUGGACGAGAGUCUGAACCAGCCAAGUAGCGUGAAGGAUGACUGCCCUAUGGGUUGUAAACUUCUUUUAUAUGGGAAUAAAACGUUCCACGUGUGGGAUUUUGUAUGUACCAUAUGAAUAAGGAUCGGCUAACUCCGUGCCAGCAGCCGCGGUAAUACGGAGGAUCCGAGCGUUAUCCGGAUUUAUUGGGUUUAAAGGGAGCGUAGGUGGAUUGUUAAGUCAGUUGUGAAAGUUUGCGGCUCAACCGUAAAAUUGCAGUUGAAACUGGCAGUCUUGAUUACAGUAGAGGUGGGCGGAAUUCGUGGUGUAGCGGUGAAAUGCUUAGAUAUCACGAAGAACUCCGAUUGCGAAGGCAGUUCACUGGACUGCAACUGACACUGAGGCUCGAAAGUGUGGGUAUCAAACAGGAUUAGAUACCCUUGUAGUC